rnacentral:sRNA from 1 species
CGUGAAGGAUAACGUUGCGUCAGCAACGGCCCGAAGGGCGAGGCAAAGCCGAGUCAUCCUGCACGACCUACCA